AGUAACGGCGAGUGAAGCGGUAACAGCUCAAAUUUGAAAUCUGGCUUCCUCGGAGCCCGAGUUGUAAUUUGUAGAAGACGCUUUGGGUUGUGGGCUUGGCCUAAGUUCCUUGGAACAGGACGUCAUAGAGGGUGAGAAUCCCGUCUGCGGCCGAGACCCUACACCUAUAUGUAAAGCUCUUUCAACGAGUCGAGUUGUUUGGGAAUGCAGCUCAAAAUGGGUGGUAAAUUUCAUCUAAAGCUAAAUAUGGGCCAGAGACCGAUAGCGCACAAGUAGAGUGAUCGAAAGAUGAAAAGCACUUUGGAAAGAGAGUUAAAUAGUACGUGAAAUUGUUGAAAGGGAAGCGCUUGCACCCAGACUUGGGCAUCGUUGAUCAUCCGAGGCUUUGCCUCGGUGCACUCAACAAUGCACAGGCCAGCAUCGGUUUGACUGGCUGGAAAAAGGCCCUAGGAAUGUAGCUCCUUUCGGGGAGUGUUAUAGCCUAGGGCGUCAUGCAGCCCAGUUAGACCGAGGACCGCGCCUUCGGGCUAGGAUGCUGGCGUAAUGGGUGUAAGCGACCCGUCUUGAAACACGGACCAAGGAGUCUAACAUCUAUGCGAGUGUUUGGGCGUCAAACCCAUACGCGGAAUGAAAGUGAACGUAGGUGAGAACCCGUUUAGGGUGCAUCAUCGACCGAUCC
rnacentral:rRNA from 1 species